AUUGAACGCUGGCGGCAUGCUUUACACAUGCAAGUCGAACGGCAGCGCGGGCUUCUUCCUGGCGGCGAGUGGCGAACGGGUGAGUAAUUCAUCGGAACGUGCCCAGUAGUGGGGGAUAGCCCGGCGAAAGCCGGCUUAAUACCGCAUACGACCUUAGGGUGAAAGCGGGGGAUCGAAAGGCCUCGCGCUAUUUGAUCGGCCUAUGUCGGAUUAGCUAGUUGGUUGGGUAAAGGCUUACCAAGGCGACGAUCCGUAGCUGCUCUGAGAGGACGACCAGCCACACUGGGACUGAGACACGGCCCAGACUCCUACGGGAGGCAGCAGUAGGGAAUUUUGGACAAUGGGGGCAACCCUGAUCCAGCCAUGCCGCGUGAGGGAAGAAGGCCUUCGGGUUGUAAACCGCUUUUGUUAGGGAAGAAAUCAUGUGGGCUAAUACCUCGGGGGGAUGACGGUACCGGAAGAAUAAGCAACGGCUAACUACGUG
rnacentral:rRNA from 1 species